rnacentral:lncRNA from 1 species
GGCAAGCAGAGUAAAGGAUGAAUUACCUUUGGGUCAGUCUGAGCACAUGUGCAAUUCUCAUGUCAAGUAUGGAGUAGACUGUCUAAAUCUGAAGCUCAGGAGAGAGAUCCAGCAUGUGAAGUCACCAGUGGCUACAAGGCCAAGGAGUUAGAAGACACUGCCCAAGGAGAGUACAGAUUGAACAGAGAGGGAUAUCAACACUGGACUUACAUAUUUUAAAUGAAGAAACUCCGGAAUAUUUUGCCUCAAAAACUGUGACUUCUGUAUUCCACGGACCACUACAUUAAUUUUUCUCUUCUAUUGCAGCUUUUUAUAGUCUUCAACAACAACCAGUCCCUACAUUUAAGAAGGUUAAUAACUGAGACAGCCUUCCUGGUGGAUCCAUCAUUUGGCCCAGCUUGUAGAAAGAUUCCCAACUAGCUCUAAUUAGUUCCAUCUUAUUUGGAGGCAGAGGUAUUCCUCAUCAUACCCAUAUCCUCAUAUAAAUUGUCCAGGUAAGUUGGGAGUGCAGUGGCGUGAUCUCAGCUCACUGCAACCUCUGCCUCCCGAGUUCAAGUGAUUCUCCUGCCUCAGCCUCCCAAGUAGCUGGGAUUAUAGGUGCCUGCCACCAGGCCUGGCUAAUUAUUUUUUGUAUUUUUAGUAGAAACAUAGUUUCACUAUGUUGGCCAGGCUGGUCUUGAACUCCUGACCUUGUGAUCCACCCGCCUCAGCCUCCCAAAGUGCUGGGAUACAGGUGUGAGCCACCAUGCCCGGCCAGUUCUUAAUACUGCCAGGAGUGCUUUAGAAGGCUGGGAAUAUGGGGCGAAAGAUUAGACACCCAAGCUGUUGAAAACCACACAGAGUUUCAGUAAAUAUAUGCACAAUUUGAAAAAUAUAUUUGCAAAAAUCUAGGUGUCUCCGGUCUAGUCCUUCCUAUUAAUCAAAUAAAUUACCGAGCUUCAUGGCCCAGUCUAUGAUCCUAGUUCUGACCGCUGCUGCCCGUAAAGGCCUCAACCAAGUAGGCAGGCAGCAAAGCCACAGCCAUGUGUUGGUUUGCGCAGUUUCUGUUCUGAGGUAUGUCAGUGAGGAUACUCAGUGGUGUUGUCAGGACAAGGUUAGGACACUGUAUUUAAAAGUUGAAUAAUUUCCUAAAUAUCUUUUAAUCUCUCCUUGAUCCAUAUUAAGCUCACUAAUAUUUUCAGUCUAUAUCAAUCUCUUGAGUACUAGGUUCCAUAAGGUUACUGCUUCAUUCACUUUCUACAUUUUUGUGUAUCCUGAAGUUACUUUAGCUACAUUUCUAGAGAAGCCCUCAUGCUCUACCAUUCUCAGAUUUAAUAAAUUGGCUGAUAGAAACAAGAUCCCCCCAAAAAUCUCAACAGACUGGAAUGAUAAAAAGGAUUAAGAAUAAAUUAGGAAUUUUGAACUGAGGUUCAGUAAUCAGCCAGUUAACUAUGGAAUGAUGGUAAAAAAAAGAUGGAUGCUGCCACUUAAUGGUCAACCAU